rnacentral:sRNA from 1 species
UUCUAGCCCUGAUUGCAGCGGCAUCCUUUUUUCUGGGUGACUGAGCGCAGUCGAAGGCACACAGAAAAAAGAUACAGCGGAAAGCAGGUACACAA